rnacentral:rRNA from 1 species
CGCGUAGGCGGCAAUUCAAGUCAGUUGUGAAAUCUCCGAGCUUAACUCGGAACGGUCAACUGAUACUGCUUUGCUAGAGUGCAGAAGGGGCAAUCGGAAUUCUUGGUGUAGCGGUGAAAUGCGUAGAUAUCAAGAGGAACACCUGAGGUGAAGACGGGUUGCUGGGCUGACACUGACGCUGAGGCGCGAAAGCUAGGGUAGCAAACG